GACAGAGGUCUCAAGCGUUAGGCGGAAUCACUGGGCUUAAAGCGUGUGUAGGCGGAUCGUUAAGUGCCUUGUGAAAUCCCGACAGCUCAACUGUGGAACUGCUUGGCAUACUGGCGGUCUUGAGCCAUCUAGGGGUCGCUGGAACAAACGGUGGAGCGGUGAAAUGCGUAGAUAUCGUUUGGAACGCCAAUGGUGAAAACAGGCGACUGGGGAUGUGCUGACGCUGAGACACGGAAAGCCAGGGGAGCAAACGGG
rnacentral:rRNA from 1 species